rnacentral:tRNA from 1 species
GGAGGUAUGGCUCAGUGGUAGAGCACCUUCUAACAAGUCUAAGGUUUUGAGUUCAAACUUCAGUACUACUA